UUAAGCGAAUAAGCGUACACGGUGGAUGCCCUGGCAGUCAGAGGCGAUGAAGGACGUGCUAAUCUGCGAUAAGCGUCGGUAAGGUGAUAUGAACCGUUAUAACCGGCGAUUUCCGAAUGGGGAAACCCAGUGUGAUUCGUCACACUAUCAUUAACUGAAUCCAUAGGUUAAUGAGGCGAACCGGGGGAACUGAAACAUCUAAGUACCCCGAGGAAAAGAAAUCAACCGAGAUUCCCCCAGUAGCGGCGAGCGAACGGGGAGGAGCCCAGAGCCUGAAUCAGUGUGUGUGUUAGUGGAAGCGUCUGGAAAGGCGCGCGAUACAGGGUGACAGCCCCGUACACAAAAAUGCACAUGCUGUGAGCUCGAUGAGUAGGGCGGGACACGUGGUAUCCUGUCUGAAUAUGGGGGGACCAUCCUCCAAGGCUAAAUACUCCUGACUGACCGAUAGUGAACCAGUACCGUGAGGGAAAGGCGAAAAGAACCCCGGCGAGGGGAGUGAAAAAGAACCUGAAACCGUGUACGUACAAGCAGUGGGAGCACAGAGCAAUCUGUGUGACUGCGUACCUUUUGUAUAAUGGGUCAGCGACUUAUAUUCUGUAGCAAGGUUAACCGAAUAGGGGAGCCGAAGGGAAACCGAGUCUUAACUGGGCGUUAAGUUGCAGGGUAUAGACCCGAAACCCGGUGAUCUAGCCAUGGGCAGGUUGAAGGUUGGGUAACACUAACUGGAGGACCGAACCGACUAAUGUUGAAAAAUUAGCGGAUGACUUGUGGCUGGGGGUGAAAGGCCAAUCAAACCGGGAGAUAGCUGGUUCUCCCCGAAAGCUAUUUAGGUAGCGCCUCGUGAAUUCAUCUCCGGGGGUAGAGCACUGUUUCGGCAAGGGGGUCAUCCCGACUUACCAACCCGAUGCAAACUGCGAAUACCGGAGAAUGUUAUCACGGGAGACACACGGCGGGUGCUAACGUCCGUCGUGAAGAGGGAAACAACCCAGACCGCCAGCUAAGGUCCCAAAGUCAUGGUUAAGUGGGAAACGAUGUGGGAAGGCCCAGACAGCCAGGAUGUUGGCUUAGAAGCAGCCAUCAUUUAAAGAAAGCGUAAUAGCUCACUGGUCGAGUCGGCCUGCGCGGAAGAUGUAACGGGGCUAAACCAUGCACCGAAGCUGCGGCAGCGACGCUGAUGCGUUGUUGGGUAGGGGAGCGUUCUGUAAGCCUGUGAAGGUGUGCUGUGAGGCAUGCUGGAGGUAUCAGAAGUGCGAAUGCUGACAUAAGUAACGAUAAAGCGGGUGAAAAGCCCGCUCGCCGGAAGACCAAGGGUUCCUGUCCAACGUUAAUCGGGGCAGGGUGAGUCGACCCCUAAGGCGAGGCCGAAAGGCGUAGUCGAUGGGAAACAGGUUAAUAUUCCUGUACUUGGUGUUACUGCGAAGGGGGGACGGAGAAGGCUAUGUUGGCCGGGCGACGGUUGUCCCGGUUUAAGCGUGUAGGCUGGUUUUCCAGGCAAAUCCGGAAAACUAAGGCUGAGGCGUGAUGACGAGGCACUACGGUGCUGAAGCAACAAAUGCCCUGCUUCCAGGAAAAGCCUCUAAGCAUCAGGUAACAUCAAAUCGUACCCCAAACCGACACAGGUGGUCAGGUAGAGAAUACCAAGGCGCUUGAGAGAACUCGGGUGAAGGAACUAGGCAAAAUGGUGCCGUAACUUCGGGAGAAGGCACGCUGAUAUGUAGGUGAAGUCCCUCGCGGAUGGAGCUGAAAUCAGUCGAAGAUACCAGCUGGCUGCAACUGUUUAUUAAAAACACAGCACUGUGCAAACACGAAAGUGGACGUAUACGGUGUGACGCCUGCCCGGUGCCGGAAGGUUAAUUGAUGGGGUCAGCGCAAGCGAAGCUCUUGAUCGAAGCCCCGGUAAACGGCGGCCGUAACUAUAACGGUCCUAAGGUAGCGAAAUUCCUUGUCGGGUAAGUUCCGACCUGCACGAAUGGCGUAAUGAUGGCCAGGCUGUCUCCACCCGAGACUCAGUGAAAUUGAACUCGCUGUGAAGAUGCAGUGUACCCGCGGCAAGACGGAAAGACCCCGUGAACCUUUACUAUAGCUUGACACUGAACAUUGAGCCUUGAUGUGUAGGAUAGGUGGGAGGCUUUGAAGUGUGGACGCCAGUCUGCAUGGAGCCGACCUUGAAAUACCACCCUUUAAUGUUUGAUGUUCUAACGUUGACCCGUAAUCCGGGUUGCGGACAGUGUCUGGUGGGUAGUUUGACUGGGGCGGUCUCCUCCUAAAGAGUAACGGAGGAGCACGAAGGUUGGCUAAUCCUGGUCGGACAUCAGGAGGUUAGUGCAAUGGCAUAAGCCAGCUUGACUGCGAGCGUGACGGCGCGAGCAGGUGCGAAAGCAGGUCAUAGUGAUCCGGUGGUUCUGAAUGGAAGGGCCAUCGCUCAACGGAUAAAAGGUACUCCGGGGAUAACAGGCUGAUACCGCCCAAGAGUUCAUAUCGACGGCGGUGUUUGGCACCUCGAUGUCGGCUCAUCACAUCCUGGGGCUGAAGUAGGUCCCAAGGGUAUGGCUGUUCGCCAUUUAAAGUGGUACGCGAGCUGGGUUUAGAACGUCGUGAGACAGUUCGGUCCCUAUCUGCCGUGGGCGCUGGAGAACUGAGGGGGGCUGCUCCUAGUACGAGAGGACCGGAGUGGACGCAUCACUGGUGUUCGGGUUGUCAUGCCAAUGGCACUGCCCGGUAGCUAAAUGCGGAAGAGAUAAGUGCUGAAAGCAUCUAAGCACGAAACUUGCCCCGAGAUGAGUUCUCCCUGACUCCUUGAGAGUCCUGAAGGAACGUUGAAGACGACGACGUUGAUAGGCCGGGUGUGUAAGCGCAGCGAUGCGUUGAGCUAACCGGUACUAAUGAACCGUGAGGCUUAACCU
rnacentral:rRNA from 1 species